rnacentral:rRNA from 1 species
GACAGAGGGGGCAAGCGUUGCUCGGAAUUACUGGGCGUAAAGGGCGCGUAGGCGGGAUGGCAAGUCGGUCGUGAAAUCCCUCGGCUCAACUGAGGAUCGUCGAUCGAUACUGCCGUUCUUGAGGAUUGCAGAGGAGACUGGAAUUCCCGGUGUAGCGGCGAAAUGUGUAGAGAUCGGGAGGAACACCGGUGGCGAAGGCGGGUCUCUGGGCAAUACCUGACGCUGAGGCGCGAAAGCGUGGGGAGCAAACGGG